rnacentral:lncRNA from 1 species
GCAUAUUGACAGAUAAUACAUAUUAAAAUAUGAUUGUGAUGUGCUUAGUGCUUUGUGUUCGCGGGUCCUAUAUGCCAGCCCGGACUGACAAUUGCCUGAGUAUAAACAUGGGACAGUUGAACAGUGACGCACGGUUUUUUUCAGGAAGCAUGUUUCAGGUGUUUUUUGUUUUUUAAAGAGUGAACAAUUGUAUUUUUGAUCCAGUGUUCCCUGACAUUCAGUUGUGGGAUCCCGGUGCUUUUGGACAGGAAAACUUGUGGCCAAGGCUCAUGGGUUGCUCUGCUGCCCCCAAGUGGUGUGGGAACCUGGGAGAAUCUCCCUAUCUCCAUGAACCACAGUGUCUUCAUCAGGAAGAUAAAGUCCUUCCAAUACUCGAAAUUCCUCUCCUGCUGAGUUUUUUGUUUUUUUUUUUCUUUCCCUGCAUGCCUGUGGGUCCGAGAUGCAUGUUGCAUGUGCCCUGGGAACUGCAGCCAAGUCUUGACUUUGGUCCCUUGUCUGUGUUUUUCCUGCAGGAGCCUGAACUGAGUCCACACACUGAACUCACAGACCUGCAGGAGGAGAUGGAAGAAAGAAAACCAGCAGGUUUUGAGGAUGAGAAGAACCCAAGUAAUAGCAGAGGAGGUGCUGUGCAGGAGAGAUUGCUGCAGUGGCAUCCAGGACUGUCAGUGGAAGUGGGGAAUGACAUGACACCACCUUUCGGACACCCAACUGGCAAGAGGCCCUGGCUCUCCUGCCACGUGUCACCAUGGCAGUGUCUCUUGGCCCUUCAUCAGACUUGAGGGCACAACACAAACUCAUGCGAGAGAACCAGGAGCUUCAGCGGCAGCUGGCCCAGAGCAAGCAGGACUUCCGAGACCUCAGGGAGAAAUUCCUUGUAUCCAAAGCUGCUGCCUACUCCCUGGCCAACCAGCUGCAGAAAUACCGUACGUCCUAGGGGUCGGGGGCAACCAAGCGAUGAGUGGUCACUGGCUUCCUUCUAGGAAAGGAAACACUCUCCAGACUUGAUCUUCUCUCCCUUUGUCAAAAUGAAGUUUCAUUCUGACCACAAUCCAGGGCAGGCAGAGGUGGCUCUUUCUCCCUCAGUUGGCAGAGG